AUUGAACGCUGGCGGCAUGCCUUACACAUGCAAGUCGAACGGCAGCACGGGUGCUUGCACCUGGUGGCGAGUGGCGAACGGGUGAGUAAUACAUCGGAACGUACCUUAUCGUGGGGGAUAACGCAGCGAAAGUUGCGCUAAUCCCGCAUCCGCCCUGAGGGGGAAAGCGGGGGACCGUAAGGCUUCGGGCGAUUAGAGCGGCCGAUGUCUGAUUAGCUUGUUGGUGAGGUAAAAGCUCACCAAGGCGAUGAUCAGUAGCUGGUCUGAGAGGACGAUCAGCCACACUGGGACUGAGACACGGCCCAGACUCCUACGGGAGGCAGCAGUGGGGAAUUUUGGACAAUGGGGGCAACCCUGAUCCAGCAAUGCCGCGUGAGUGAAGAAGGCCUUCGGGUUGUAAAGCUCUUUUGUCAGGGAAGAAACAGCAGCUCUAACACAGUCUGCGAAUGACGGUACCUGAAGAAUAAGCACCGGCUAACUACGUGCCAGCAGCCGCCGUAA
rnacentral:rRNA from 1 species